rnacentral:misc_RNA from 1 species
AACGCAUAUUGCGCUCUUUGGUAUUCCGAAGAGCAUGCUUGUUUGAGUAUCAGUAAACACCUCAACCUCUCUUUUUUGAUAAAAAAAAGGGAGGGUGGACUUGAGCUAUCCCAACGACCUUCACCGGUAGGCGGGCAGCUUGAAAUGCAGGUGCAGCUGGACUUUUAUCUGAGCUAAAAGCAUAUCUAUUUAGUCCUUGUCAAACAGGAUUAUUACUUUUGCUGCAGCUAACAUAAAGGAUAAUUGUCCUCUUUGCUGACUGAUGCAGGAUUUUACGACACUUUAUGUGUUGUUCAACUCGAUCUCAAAUCAAGUAAGACUACCCGCUGAACUUAA